UUUAGUGUAUCAUUAUUUUUUAUUUAUUUUUUAUUAUUACUUUUUUUUCCUAGCAUGAUGCAAUAUAUAAUGAUAAUAACAACAACACGGCA
rnacentral:ribozyme from 14 species